AAUAUGUAGCUAACUGUAUAUAUGGUUUUUUUUUUCUCUAAUUGGUGUUAUACCAAAUAUUUUUAUAUUAAACUAACAAAUGCAUUGAUUCAGAAAUUCGGGCACAGAAGUUCCUCCUAUAACUGAGUUUAUCAAAAUUCGAUAUGCUUUUGAGCUGCUGACAAAUCCUUUAUGGAAGAGGAAUUACGACAUAUUCGGUAUUGACGAGCACAUUCAUGUUCUUGAUAGUAUCAAGGAGCGACAGGCUGGGACAAUUUUUUCUAAAAUUGACCUUCCAUUGCUGGAGUCUGCUUCCU